AAAAAAGACACACACCAUGAAGUUAUUUAUUAUACUUUGCAUUCUAUUCGCAGUGGUGUCGGCCGAGAAUUAUGAAAAUGAAAUAACCAACACCAACAGUAUUUCAAUCUCCAGCAUUAUUGCAAACUUCAGAUGCAUAAAAGAAAACAUAAUAAAAUUGUUAAAAAUACACACACCGAACAUCGCACUGGGCCUGCAAGUAUGUUUACGCACUGCGCCAGCGGAAACAAAACAAAUUGGUAGAAAUAUUCUCUAUCAGCUUCAAGCAAUUAAUAUGAAAUGGAACAAGCAUCAAAGCUCAUCUCGUGUGGCGUUUAUUGCGGUUAUGGAUAUUGCAAAGACUGAUAUUCCUCCAUUAAUGAAGUCGUUGCGUAUGGUGGUUGAAUAUGCUGCUGAUCAUCCAGGAACUUAUUCAUGCAUUGAGGAUAAAACUAAAGCCGCCAGAGAGAUACUAAACAAUAUAAAUGAAUGUUAAAUGCAAGAAUACUGUACUGUAAUGGUGGCAAUAACAUUUUUUCCUGUGGCUUUAUCGCACACGAAUGUUUUAAACAUUUAACUGUUAUAUUGUUUACAGCACAUAUUCUCGGAAUACUUCCGAUGGCCUAUAAAAGCUUACUUUCCAAGUUAUUUGACUCAAGAUCAUUUGUGUAUUCCUGGCAUUCCCCAUCUCAUCAUUUAAUCAUGCUUAUUGUUAUUGUUCUCUUAUUAAUCUACAAAAUUUUGGUAGUAAAUUCUCAGAGCACCUUGUCUUCGAAUUUAUGCUUAAAUCAAGUUCGCAACUUCUUCAACACUGCGCAGAAUUUCCGUGAUGACCUACAAAGCUGCACAUCUGACCUGACCAUCAUCAGUGGCGACAUUUAUAAUUACGUUGACCAAUUUACGCAGAAUUAUGACGACUUUCGCAAUGCCUUCAAUGGGCUUCUCAAUUGCAACGGAUUCGUCUGCCAAGAUCGAAUAUCGUCCGAAAUCUCGCGCUAUGUCGAUAUAAUGAAUUUUGAUUUGGAGACUAUCGCCAACGAGAUUGGGCAAGCCCAGCCUGGAUUAGAUCCCGCGACGGCUUAUUGCUUGAAUUCUGUUGUUAACAAUGUAAACAAUUCGUUGAUAUUCAAUUUAAAUUGUUAGCAGUAAAAUUACGCAAUUGUUACCCAAUAAAGUAAUUUUCAAGUUAUUCAAACUGCAAAAACGUUCCAGGUUAACACUUUAUUUCUGUGAUAACACUGGGUACGCCGCUUAUAAAUACCAAACGAUGCAAAUGUUCCUUCGUUCAUUCACUCCUUUUCAGCAAUGAACCGACCUACUGUUUUAAUUUGCAUUGUUAUGCUACAUCAGAUUUGUGGAAAAACUUGUUCCACACUCAGUUCUGAUGAUUUACGUGCUUUAUUUGCUCAACAACAACAAGAUCGUGCCCUGUUUCCAAACGUUCAAUGCCUGACAUCACAAUUUCGGGAGUUUCUCAAUUCUGGGACCAAUUUUGGCACAGACCUGCAGCGCUGCACAUCUGGUAUUCAGAACAUCGGCACUGAUGUGUUAACACGUGUGGAUGAUUUUUCUAUAAGAAGCACAAAUGUCUUAAGCAUGUUGUCGGAGUUUCUCACAUGCGCGGGUUUGUUUUGUCAAUGGCAAACUUUGAUAAAUGUGGGCAGUGAGACUGUGCAAAUGGUGAGCGAUAUUACACAGCUGGUUACCGAUAUUUUUGCUUCGCCAUGGCAGUUUGCUCCGACAAGUAUUAACUGUUUUGCGAAUGUAAUUACAAGGGUUGCAAACACACUCUCCAAUUUAAUAACCUGCUUUCAAGGAGGUACUAUACCAGAAAGCACUACACCCACAACAACAACGACCACAAACAGAUUUCCUGGUUUCCCUGGUUUUCCCAACUUCCAAAAUGCUAAUCCCAAUGUAUCAAAUAAUUAAUUGUUUUAUAGUUGUGAUUAAAUUAUGCAAAGAAUAAAGAAUUUAUUACCGCAUGCAAGGCUAGAGUUUAUGUUCGACUAUAAAUUGUUUCUUUAACGAUGUGUGCAGUAAAUAAAAAAAUGGAAAUAGUUUAGGAUUGAGUUUCCGCACUAUUUGAAAUAUAAAAACUCGACUAACUGACCGAGUACUGCUUAUACCUGCAAAAUUAACACCUGAACACAAUGCAGUCGCGAUAUAUUUAUUUGUACCUACUUUUGGUCUGGCAGUGCAAACUGUCAUCAACGCAGAAUUCAACCACGGUGGUAAGCAUUACAAGCAGUGGUUUGCCCGUAACCAAUUCCAGUUCCAAUGAGAGCAACAGUUCAAGCAAUGAAAGUAACAGCUCUUCUUCUGAAGAAGACUCGUCAGAAUCUACGCCUGCACCAUUAUCAUUUCAACUGCAGCAAUUCACAUGCCUCAACAAUCGUUUGAUACAGUUUCUUCAACUUGGUAUUUCUUUCAAUGAUAAUUUGCUUCAAUGCACACCCUCGUUGGCAAAUUUAGGGGACGUUGUCUAUGAUCGCGUCAGUGAUUAUAAUUUGCAAUUUGACGACUUAUCGUCUUCGUACGCGCUAUUGUUGUACUGCCCAUCGGCUCUGUGCCGACUUCGCGUUGGGUUUGGUUUAAUCACUGACGUGGCACAGAUCGCUGCAGAUUUGAAUGCUAUUCAGUAUAAUCUAAGGAACAAUACGACCAUUUUACCGAAUACGUCAAUCGGAGCCACACUAACACCUGCUCGAUUAAAUGCUACCGAAAGAAAUUGUAUAAAUGGUGUUGUUGAUAACGUGGUAAACGUGUUUAAUAAUAUUUCAUCGUGUUUUGGUAGUAAUUAGUUAUAUAAAGUGAUUAUUAUUUACAGUCAGUUUGUUUGAUGAAUAUGCUACAAACAAUAUGCUUUCAAAUAUAUUUAAAUAAAUAAUUAUAUGUAAAUUCCAACAUGCUUUUGCACACGUUCCGUGGAAAUUUACCAAAAUGUAUAAAUAAUCGAUAUUUGUAUAGGAUUACACAUACUGAGCUAGAAAACAUGAAAGCAUCGUUGGUUAUUCUUGCCGCAUUGGCCUUUCUGCAGGUCGCAGUAACGAAAGAAGAAUGGGAAUUUAAUUUAUGCGUUAUAUCUCGAAUAGAUUAUGUCGGUAUUACUAUUACACAGUUUCCUGAUGAAGUCAACAAAUGUAUAAAUGCUUCGGAAAAUCUUUCCGAGAAGGUAAAAGCGGAAAUCAAUAGCUUGAUAGCGGCUAUGGACCAAUUCUUAGAAGAUAUUGAAGGCAGUGCGAAUACUUUUGAUAUUGACGAAUUUGUAGCUGAUAUUAAUGAAAGGAUUCCGGUGAUUAAUGGAACUCAAGCGAUUGUUAACAAACUUGUUUGCAAUAAAAAAGAUCGUAAAUGUUUCAAUGAACAAUUAGAUAAACUCAAGCUUCCAUUUGUGACUAUUAGCGAAUGUUAAUAAGUAAUUAUUCUUGCACUGUUUAUUAACUUUGUUUUGAAAUCAAAUAAAUAUUGAAAUAUUUAUUUUCAACAUUUUGUUCUUUACUGUAAAAAUUAGUACCCAAAAGUUUAUUAUAAUUAUGCACAAUGUGUUAUCUGUGUUAUUGCAGGUAAUAUUUAAUAUUCAUGAACAUGAGCUAGGCAUAACAAAUUUUUUAAACCGAAUAAAUAUAUAUAUACCGCUAUUUAUUCGGGAUUUUUUCAAAGUGUUUUUAGCAUUCACACGUGUGCUACUUAAAUAAUUUUAAUAUCAUGAAGGUGUUGCUGGUGCUUGUUCAAGCAAUGUGCUUAAUUCAUGUUUCAAUUGCACAAAAUGAGCAACUGUUGCAGUGCAUUUGGCCUCAUGCGACUCCACUGUCGAAUCAUAUCGUUGCGGUACCUACUAACAUCAACAAAUGUUUGGAAAAUUCCGAAAAUUUACCUGAUAAGGUAAAAUUAAAAAUCGUAGAAUUUGUUGAAAGCGUAGAGGCAUUCCAUAAUAACGAUCGUGGUUUUGACGUAUUUGCGUUUUUAAAUCGGGUUGAUAAACAGCUAAUCAAAAUCGCCGAGACAGUUGCCAUUGUUGAUGAGGGAGUCAACAAUAAAACGGAUCGUAGGUGUUUUAUUAAACAAAUAAAUGCCAUAAAAUGUCCAUUGCUAUCUAUUAGCAAAUGCCCAAGGGCGACUGUACAAACUUAACUUUUAAUUAUCACAAUAAAGUUUCGGAAUUUAUCAGCAGUCAUAAA